rnacentral:rRNA from 1 species
GAAAACCACGGUGGUACAGGAUGGGCCCGCGUCUGAUUAGUUAGUUGGCAGGGUAACGGCCUACCAAGACGAUGAUCAGUAGCCGGCUUGAGAGAGUGGACGGCCACAUUGGGACUGAGACACGGCCCAGACUCCUGCGGGAGGCAGCAGUGGGGAAUAUUGCACAAUGGGGGGAACCCUGAUGCAGCAAUGCCGCGUGGGUGAAGAAGCACUCCGGUGCGUAAAGCCCUGUCAGCAGGGAAGAAAAUGACAGUACCUGACCAAGAAGCCCCGGCUAACUACGUGCCAGCAGCCGCGGUAAUACGUAGGGGGCAAGCGUUAUCCGGAUUUACUGGGUGUAAAGGGAGCGCAGGCGGUAUGGCAAGUCAGAUGUGAAAACCCAGGGCUCAACCCUGGGACUGCAUUUGAAACUGCCAUACUGGAGUGCCGGAGAGGUAAGUGGAAUUCCUAGUGUAGCGGUGAAAUGCGUAGAUAUUAGGAGGAACACCAGUGGCGAAGGCGGCUUACUGGACGGUAACUGACGCUGAGGCUCGAAAGCGUGGGGAGCAAACAGGAUUAGAUACCCUGGUAGUCCACGCUGUAAACGAUGACUACUAGGUGUCGG